rnacentral:rRNA from 1 species
UACGGGGGGAGCAAGCGUUGUUCGGAUUUACUGGGCGUAAAGGGCGCGUAGGCGGCCACCGCAAGUCAAUUGUGAAAUCUCCGGGCUUAACUCGGAAAGGUCAACUGAUACUGCGGGGCUAGAGUGCGGAAGGGGCAACUGGAAUUCUCGGUGUAGCGGUGAAAUGCGUAGAUAUCGAGAGGAACACCUGCGGUGAAGGCGGGUUGCUGGGCCGACACUGACGCUGAUGCGCGAAAGCGUGGGGAGCGAACAGG